GACGUAGGGCGCGAGCGUUGUCCGGAAUUACUGGGCGUAAAGAGCUCGUAGGUGGUUUGUCGCGUUGUUCGUGAAAACUCACAGCUCAACUGUGGGCGUGCGGGCGAUACGGGCAGACUGGAGUACUGCAGGGGAGACUGGAAUUCCUGGUGUAGCGGUGGAAUGCGCAGAUAUCAGGAGGAACACCGGUGGCGAAGGCGGGUCUCUGGACAGUUCCUGACGCUGAGGCACGAAGGUCAGGGGAGCAAACGGG
rnacentral:rRNA from 1 species